UAGCCCAGUAGCUCAUUUCCUCGUAAUCAAACCCAGGCACCGUCCGGGCUCUCUGCGACUUCCCUGUAGUAAAAGCACAGGGAGAGAUCUACUUGAGUCCCUCGCUUCUUAAUUUCCAGAUCUCUACUCGCUAAUCCUCCCUGUUAAUGAAACCAAGGCAUUUCUGAUUUGUUCUUGCUCCAUUUCCAUUCGAUUAGCACGUCAGCUGUAAAUAAUUGAAAUGGCUGCGGGGGGUUUUGUGAACCGAGCAUUCGAGUCAAUGCUAAAGGAAUGUUCGGGCAAGAAGUACCCUGAUCUUCAAAAGGCUAUUCAAACUUAUAUUGAUAGCACCAAAGUGUCAAAUCAGCAAUCUAAACCUGGCGAGAUGAAUCAAGCAGCACCAUUGGCUGGAGCACAGGGUUCACUUGAAUCUGAAGAUGGUACUGCAAAAACUGGAACACAAUCAGAUCAGUUGCAAAUUACUUCUGAGGCACCUGAUGGGAAGUCAGUGCGCAGAAAUGGAAACAUCACAAUUGCAUUAGCAAAUGCUGGGUGCACUUUGGAUGAGGCUGACGUAGAGAUUGUUUUGAAUCCACUCUGUCUUGCAUUUGAGACGAAGAAUUUAAAAAUCAUAGAACCUGCUUUGGAUUGUCUUCAUAAACUCAUUGCUUAUGAUCACCUAGAGGGAGAUCCUGGUUUAGAAGGUGGUAAAAAUGUCCUAUUGUUCACUGACAUUCUGAGCAUGGUUUGCAGUUGCGUUGAUAAUUCAUCACCUGACAGUACGAUUUUGCAAGUGCUAAAGGUACUUCUGACAGCUGUAGCAUCUGCAAAAUUUAGAGUACAUGGGGAACCGUUGCUGGGAGUAAUCAGAAUAUGCUACAAUAUUGCCUUGCACAGCAAGAGCCCCAUAAAUCAAGCAACGGCAAGGGCAAUGUUGACACAGAUGAUCAGCAUUGUAUUCAGGAGAAUGGAAACUGAUCCUCAACAAACUCAGGUUUCUACUUCACCAAGUUCAGUUGGAAAUGUAGAAGCCACUUCAGAGGAGAAAUCAAAUGCAAAAGAUGAAGAAACUCCAUCUGUGGACCAAAAUGAAGAAGGAAUGACUUUGGGAGAUGCGCUUGACCAGAUGAAAGAGACAUCACUUGCCUCUGUUGAGGAACUCCAGAAUCUUGCUGGUGGUGCUGAUAUCAAGGGUUUGGAGGCUGUUCUUGACAAGGCUGUGCAAAUUGAAGAUGGUAAAAAAAUAACAAGGGGGAUUGACUUGGAGAGCAUGAGCAUUGGACAACGAGAUGCUUUGCUGCUAUUCCGCACCCUUUGUAAGAUGGGUAUGAAGGAAGAUACUGAUGAAGUUACAACCAAGACAAGGAUUUUGUCUCUAGAGCUUCUGCAGGGAUUAUUGGAAGGAGUUAGCCAUUCGUUUACAAAGAACUUUCAUUUUAUUGACUCUGUAAAAGCAUAUCUUUCAUAUGCAUUGUUGCGGGCUUCGGUUUCACACUCUCCUGUCAUAUUUCAGUACGCAGCUGGAAUCUUCUCAGUACUUAUCUUGCGCUUCAGGGAAAGUCUUAAAGUAUGUGUAUGAUGAUGAUUUGCUGCAGAGUUGAUUGUUCUGUGAUGACAUUACUUCGAUCUAUUUAGUAAAUAUCCUUUAUUUGGCUGCAUUUUUUCAAUUAGUCAUGCUACAAAACCUUUUCAGGGAGAAGUUGGUGUAUUCUUUCCCUUGAUAGUUCUACGUUCACUGGAUGGCUUAGAAUGUCCAAUUAACCAAAAAAUGAGUGUUCUUAGAAUGCUUGAGAAAGUUUGUAAGGAUCCUCAAAUGCUUGUUGAUGUAUAUGUUAACUAUGACUGUGAUCUCGAGGCACCAAAUUUGUUUGAACGCAUGGUAACCACACUGUCUAAAAUAGUUCAAGGGACUCAAAGUGCAGAUCCAAAUGCUGUUGCCGUAACCCAAGCUACUUCUAUUAAAGGUUUAUCACUUCAGUGUCUAGUUAAUGUGCUUAAAUCACUUGUUGAUUGGGAGAAGUUGUGUAAAGAAUCUCAAAAAAAUAUGAAAAGAGUGAAGUCUCUUGAAGAAGUGCUUUCAGCUGGGGAAUCUGUUGAAAUAAAGAGCGGAGAAGAUGUGCCCCAUAACUUUGAAAAGGCAAAGGCUCACAAAUCUACAAUGGAAGCUGCUAUCGGAGAGUUCAAUCGGAAGCCAGUUAAGGGUGUAGAAUAUUUGAUAUCAAAUAAGUUGGUGGAAAAUAAUCCUGCUUCAGUUGCUCAAUUUCUAAGAAAUACUCCCAAUCUGGAUAAGGCUAUGAUCGGUGAUUAUUUGGGUCUACAUGAGGAGUUUCCCCUUGCUGUCAUGCAUGCUUAUGUCAAUUCCAUGAAGUUUUCAGGAAUGAAGUUUGACACGGCAAUUCGGGAAUUUCUUAAAGGAUUUCGACUUCCUGGAGAAGCUCAAAAGAUUGAUCGCAUUAUGGAAAAGUUUGCAGAAAGAUAUUGUGCAGAUAAUCCAGGUCUCUUCAAAAAUGCAGAUACUGCAUAUGUUCUUGCAUAUGCAGUCAUAAUGUUGAAUACUGAUGCGCAUAAUUCUAUGGUGUGGCCUAAAAUGGCCAAGUUAGAUUUUAUACGUAUCAAUUCCAUGAAUGAUGCUGAAGAUUGUGCCCCAACAGAUCUACUGGAAGAGAUCUAUGACUCCAUUGUUAAAGAAGAGAUAAAAAUGAAAGAUGAUGCAGCUGAUAUUGGGAAAAGCAGACAAAAGCCAGAAAGUGAGGAGAGAGGCCGCCUUGUCAAUAUUCUAAAUCUGGCUCUCCCCAAAAGAAAAUCAUCGACCGAUGCUAAGUUUGAGAGUGUAGCUAUAAUUAAGCAAACACAGGCAAUAAUCCGGAAGCAAGGAGCAAGAAGAGGAAUUUUCCAUACUGUACGACAGAUCGAAAUUGUAAGGCCUAUGGUUGAAGCUGUAGGAUGGCCUCUACUUGCCACUUUCUCUGUGACCAUGGAGGAAGGUGAUAAUAAGCCAAGGGUUAUUCUCUGCAUGGAGGGAUUUAAAGCUGGAAUACACAUUACACAUGUUCUGGGAAUGGAUACCAUGCGCUAUGCUUUCUUAACAUCUUUGGUGCGAUUUACUUUCUUACACGCCCCAAAGGAAAUGCGCAGUAAAAAUGUAGAAGCAUUGUGGACUCUACUUGCAUUGUGUGACUCAGAAAUUGAUUCCCUUCAAGACACAUGGAAUGCAGUUUUGGAAUGUGUUUCUCGGCUAGAAUUUAUUAAUUCAACUCCAGCUAUUGCUGCAACUGUCAUGCAUGGAUCAAAUCAGAUUUCCAAGGAUGCUGUUCUUCAAUCCCUAAGAGAGCUGGCUGGGAAACCUGCUGAACAGGUUUUUGUCAAUAGUGUUAAAUUGCCUAGUGAUUCUAUUGUGGAAUUCUUCACUGCUCUCUGUGGUGUAUCAGCUGAAGAAUUAAAACAAACUCCUGCUCGUGUAUUCAGUUUGCAAAAGCUUGUUGAGAUCAGCUAUUACAAUAUGGCUCGUAUACGCAUGGUCUGGGCUAGAAUAUGGUCUGUCCUUGCAAAUCAUUUUAUUUCUGCUGGGAGCCAUCGCGAGGAGAAAAUUGCCAUGUAUGCCAUUGAUUCUCUAAGGCAGCUUGGUAUGAAGUAUUUGGAGCGCGCUGAGCUCACCAAUUUCACUUUCCAGAAUGACAUUCUCAAACCAUUUGUUGUUCUUAUGCGAAACAGUCAUAGUGAUUCCAUAAGGAGACUAAUUGUUGACUGUAUUGUUCAAAUGAUCAAAUCUAAAGUUGGAAGCAUAAAGUCUGGAUGGCAUAGUGUUUUUAUGAUUUUCACUGCAGCUGCAGAUGAUGAACUGGAAUCAAUUGUGGAAAGUGCCUUUGAAAAUGUUGAGCAAGUUAUCUUGGAACACUUUGAUCAGGUGGUUGGGGAUUGUUUUAUGGACUGUGUCAACUGUCUUAUAAGGUUUUCCAAUAACAGAACUUCUCACCGUAUAAGUUUGAAGGCUAUCGCACUCCUCCGCAUUUGUGAAGAUCGUUUGGCAGAGGGCCUUAUUCCCGGCGGUGCUCUGAAGCCCAUUGAUAAUAAUGUUGAUGCAACUUUUGAUGUGACUGAGCAUUACUGGUUCCCAAUGCUAGCUGGUUUAUCAGAUUUGACAUCAGAUGCAAGACCUGAGGUUAGAAGCUGUGCACUAGAAGUUUUGUUUGAUUUGCUGAAUGAGAGAGGGAACAAGUUCUCAUCAUCUUUUUGGGAGAGCAUUUUCCAUCGUGUGUUGUUUCCCAUUUUUGAUCAUGUGAGACAUGCUGGAAAGGAAAGCCUAAUCUCUUCUGAUGAUGAGUGGUUUCGAGAAACCAGCAUUCAUUCGCUUCAGUUGCUGUGCAACCUUUUUAACACAUUCUACAAGGAGGUGUGUUUCAUGUUGCCUCCUCUUCUGAGUUUGCUUCUGGACUGUGCAAAAAAGACUGAUCAGACUGUGGUUUCAAUCUCUUUGGGAGCGUUAGUACAUCUGAUUGAAGUUGGAGGUCACCAGUUUUGUGAGAGUGACUGGGACACUUUGAUGAAAAGCAUAAGAGAUGCUUCAUACACAACACAACCGCUUGAGUUGCUUAAUGCUGUGAGUUUUGAGAACCAAAAAAGCCCCUCGGUGCUAGUUAUGGAUUCAGAGGUAAUUACAGGUGAUGUUGCAGAUGACCGUCAAUUUGAUAUCAGUGAUAAUGGAAAGGUAUCUGCAUUGGCAUUUCCAAUUAGUGCUCAUAGCAUUGGGGGGAAUCCAAAUGCAUCUGCUUCGCUGGAUAACAGUCAAGAAUCAGGAUUGCAAAGCAAUUUGGAUGGAUCAGAAGGCCUUCCAUCACCAUCAAGAACUCAGAAACCUGCUGAUGCUGCUGGUAUCCAAAGGAGUCAAACCAUAGGUCAAAAAAUAAUGGGAAAUAUGAUGGACAAUCUGUUUAUGAGGAGUCUCACCUCCAAAUCCAAGGCCCGUGCUUCUGAUGCGUCAGUGCCAUCAUCUCCAAUUAAGGUUCCUGAUCCUGUGGAGCCUGAUGCCAAAGAUGAGGAAGAAAGUCCAUUGAUGACAAGUAUUAGGGGCAAGUGCAUCACUCAAUUAUUACUUCUUGGUGCUAUUGAUAGUAUUCAGAAGAAGUACUGGAGCAAGUUAAAAGCACCACAAAAGAUUGCUAUAAUGGAUGUUUUAUUAUCCAUGUUAGAGUUUGCUGCUUCAUAUAAUUCAUACCCGAACCUCAGAAUGCGGAUGCAUCAUAUUCCUGUUGAGAGGCCUCCUCUAAACCUUGUUCGUCAAGAAUUAGCAGGAACUAGCAUAUAUCUGGAUGUAUUACUGAAAACAACUUCAGGUUUCCAUGCUAAUGACGGACAACUUCUGGAAUCUGAAGAUGGUGAUAUUUCUCCAAUGCAAAAUAAUUCAAGCUUCACUGGGGAUGUGGAACUUGAAGGAAUAGCAGAAGAGAAAUUAGUUUCUUUCUGUGAACAGGUACUCAAGGAAGCAUCUGAUCUCCAGUCCUCAAUGGGGGAGACUGCUAACAUGGAUGUUCAUCGAGUUCUUGAGUUACGGUCACCGAUCAUUGUCAAGGUGCUUAAAGGCAUGUGCUUUAUGAACAACAAGAUUUUCAGAAGACAUUUAAGAGAUUUCUAUCCUUUACUUACAAAACUUGUGUGCUGUGAUCAGAUGGAAAUUCGUGGGGCACUAGGAGAUCUUUUCAGGGUGCAGUUAAAAGCUCUGCUACCAUAGUAGUUUUCAAUAAUCUCUGGGCAUUCUUUGAAGGAAUGAUUUUCAGCAAUGCUGCACAUUCCGAAUCUGAUUUUCUCGGUUUUUCAGCUAAAUCUUUCGGUGCAUUUCUUUAGUACAGAUUAACUAGCCAGAUGCCAUUGUUUGCGUAAAGAAUUUAGAAAGAGGAAAAGUUAUAGGAAUUUUUCAUGUAUCAUUUUUGGUCUGAUAAAUGGAAAUUAGUUUUCCAAGUUACUCGAGAAGAAACGAGAAAAUAUUGCCAUCGUCUGUUUAUAAUUCAAGUACACCACAACCAUCUUCGCAGGCGUUUUCUUGUUGCUUGGGACAUUUCUGCUUGUUUAGAGAGAUUAUGGUGUGGUCUUGGAGUAUAUGCUUCCACUCUUACAAGAUAUGAGAUUCACUAUUCCUUAAUCGAACGAAUAAUUAUAAUUAUGUGUCUAUAAGAGCAUUAUCUUUUAGUGUUCUGAGUUCAUAUUAAAAUUUUCCGUUUACUCAUAGGCAAUGAACUGUCGGGGUCUUAAUUGAAGGGUUGAAUGAUAACACUUGGUCUCAAGACCUUACUUUUUUGUAUUAUUACAUAAAUCAGAUUAGAAUGACCGUAACAAAUGGAUCAUUGAUAUUAUCUUAUAAAGGUAAGUAUAUGUUAUAG
rnacentral:misc_RNA from 1 species